AUUGAACGCUGGCGGCAUGCCUUACACAUGCAAGUCGAACGGUAACAGGUCUUCGGAUGCUGACGAGUGGCGAUCGGGCGAGUAAUACAUCGGAACGUGCCCGAUCGUGGGGGAUAACGAAGCGCAAGCUUUGCUUAUACCGCAUACGAUCUACGGAUGAAAGCAGGGGACCGCAAGGCCUUGCGCGUACCUAGCUGCCGAUGCCAGAUCAGGUAGUUGGUGUGAUCAAGGCUUACCACGCCGACGAUCUGUAGCUGGUCUGAGAGGACGACCGGCCACAGUGGGAGUGAGAGACGGCCCAGACUGCUACGGGAAGCAGCAGUGGGGAAUUUUGGAAAAUGGGAGAAAGCAUGAUCCAGCAAUGCCGCGUGGAGGAUGAAGGCAUUCGGGUGGUAAACUGCUUUUGUAAGGAACGAAAAGACUCUGGUUAAUAAGUAGAAUCAAUGACGGUACCGUAAGAAUAAGCACCGGCUAACUACGUG
rnacentral:rRNA from 1 species